rnacentral:lncRNA from 1 species
CACACACUCUCUCUCUCCCUAAUCUCUCUCACACACUCUCUCUAGUUUCUUAAUCUUCUCUACGACUGCAACACCAGAGGCAUACGUCAUCCUUGCUGAAAGAGACACUAUUAUCACAAAUAAAUGGUGGUAUGGAGUGCAGCAGAUCGGAACGGGUGACCGAUGCUACAAAUCUUUGGGCAGCGCUAUAGUUCUCCCCACUACUUCAUUGCACUCGUUUCGGCACGUCCUUGCGAUAAACCUACUCCGACGACUCCUUAUGGCACUCACUUUGACGACUCAUUACGGUGUACUGUGCAUCAUCGUUGAGCACGAUGCAGAUCCAUUCUUUUUUUUAAAAAAAUUGAGUAGUGCGGUGAUUGACUAUUCUGUGAUGUUAACAGUGCGUUAGUUUUGCAAUUGUGACGAUUGUGGUGUAAGAAUUUUUAAUUAAAGAUGAGCUUGUAUGUGUGAAUAAUUGUGUAUUAAAUUAUAGGCUAUCGAAUUCGGUUGAGCCCGAUUAAAGUGAUCUAAUAAGGUUUCGGUUUUGGGCUUUAAUGUAUCCAAUUAAAGUAUGGGUUUACAUAUGUGUAGAGACCGGGCUCAAGUCCUAAUUCUAUGAUGGGUCGAAUUAGGUCAAAGGGCAUCCUCAUAUAAAUAGGUUAUGGUCCCCAGAUCACACGCAACGAAACGAAUUGUUCAAUCUCUACUGCAUCCCAU